AACGGGUAGGAAUGCAUGGGUAACCUACCCUCGAGUGGGGAAUAACUAGCCGAAAGGUUAGCUAAUACCGCAUACGUUUCCGGGACCUCGGUUCCGGAAAGAAAGCAAUACCGUGGGUAUUGCGCUCAUGGAUGGGCUCAUGUCCUAUCAGCUUGUUGGUGAGGUAACGGCUCACCAAGGCUUCGACGGGUAGCUGUCUGAGAGGACGAUCAGCCACACUGGCACUGCGACACGGGCCAGACUCCUACGGGAGGCAGCAGUAAGGAAUAUUGCGCAAUGGACGAAAGUCUGACGCAGCGACGCCGCGUGGGGGAUGAAGGUCUUCGGAUUGUAAACCCCUUUCGGGAGGGAAGAGGAGUGGGUAACCACUUGGACGGACCUCCAGAACAGCCACGGCAA
rnacentral:rRNA from 1 species